AUUACGUCUACUGAUAUUACAUGGAUUUCCCAGGUGUGUUUGUUUUGUUCCAUAACUUUUACGAUCCGCAGAAAAUUUGUGCGUUUUUUUCCCCCUCUUUUAAUCUAUUCAAUUUUCUAUUUCCAAAUUUAAAAAACAAAACAAACAAAAAACUACUGCGUAGCACUACAAAUAUUAAAAAGAAAACGAAAUAAUAACAAAACAAAAAAAAAGGAGAAAGAAAAAGCGUAAAUAUAUAACGCACAUAAGAAGCACGAGCUGUCAGCUGCUCGUUACCGAAAAUUGUUGAGAGGCUAUUCAGUUGCUCCAUAGGCUAUACUGUACUACUACUACUACUACGUAUAAAUAUAUAUGGCCAUCGUUCGAAUUGCUAUCGCAUGUUGUUCUUAGCUAAGGACGAGGUGUUGCCAAUGACGGGCCGUAUGCCAAGUCAAAGACGCUACGGCGCCCGACAGUCUCCCUGUCUGCCGACGUCUCCUGCCCGAUAUUUCGUUUCUUCAUCAUCAUUUUGGGUGAAGACGCAAGAGGCUGACAUAAGGGGCCAAAAGCCAACGUCAGGCCGGCGUCAUGGCGUCGUGGCGUCACGAUGGGAAAAAAACAAAAACAAAAAACAAAAAACAAAAAAGGAAAAACAGAUGCGAAGGCAUCCGGAAUGAGAUAAGCUAACGUUGUUUAUUAUGUUGGUCGACGCCAUAGUGACGGCGAAACAGAGGCUUGCUGGACCAUGCCAAGUCUCUUCCUCUUCUGUUAUUAUGUGCUUUUGCACGUCGAAACGUUAAUACGAACUUGACCUUCAAGUGACCCACCAUGGCAGCGUGUAUGCAUCUAUUUAUUAUUAUUUUUAUUUUUUUUUACGGCUCUUGUUCGCCUCACGCUCUGCUCCAGCGGGCGGUCUUUUCUCUUGCACAAUUAUGCGCGAUUCCCUUUUCGGUAUUGUUUUGUUUUUCUGUGAAUUUUUCCAGUGUGCAUCUCCAACUUCUUUUUAACUAUCCAUCUUCUUGCACUAUUGAUUUUUUGUUGUUGUUGUUGUUCCGACUCACUGGCGAAGUUGUUUGCAUGUAUACUUGUUGAAUGGCCAAUCAUGUUUUGAAGAUAGGAAGAAAAAAAAAGGCGUAGCGAUUAUAUAAGAGAAAUUCUUAUUCCUAUUUUCGUCUGCGUUCCAUCAUCGUAUAUACCAAGGACGUAAUAUUUACUACGCACAGACUCUAUCCAGAUGCGAUAUAACUGUCGACAGAUUCCCCUACAUCGCCCGCUGAUAGGCUCGUUUCACUCUUCUCAUGUAGAGAGAGAGAUAUGCCACGUGCCUGACGGGUGCGCUCGCCAUAUAGGCCUGUGCAUAUCGCACUCUAUAAAAGAAGGUAGAACGAAGCGUGAAGAAUUCGGAAAAUGCAGGAAAUCAUCGGAAAAGGACCUUGACGGAGGCGAAACUUUUCUUAUUUUCAAACAGCAACAAACAAGAAAAAAAAAAAAGAAAAAGAAAAAUGGCGAUUAAAAGGAAUGCGGACAAGCGGAUUCGUUGAGAAUUUGAUGACAAGCGAUGUAUAUACGCAUGCGAACGACAAGAAGUUGCGAGAAGGAUCGGUCUGUCUCAUUCUCAAUGUUUCGUGUACUAAUACGGGCACCAUUAUUCAUGACCCUGGAUUUGCCAUCAUCAUCAUUAAAGGCACGUUCACAUCGUUCCUGUCCCGGGACCUUGUUGAAUGUUGAUAUUUGGCGAGCGCGCGUCGGGAGCGCGAGCAAGCACGGCUACAUAUGCAGCUGGCAGUUCCGCAAUAGUCUCACAUUGGUCGUUUUACAUCAACAAUGAUUUAUAUUAAGGAGGCGGAAUGUAUACAAAUGCACGCGCCUUUACGUCAGCUCGCAUCUUCUGCCAAUGGAACACGGAGCUCUGCGUCCCCGACUGGACGUCGCCCGUGCCCUUUCAUCAUCUAUUCUCUCGUGCACGGCCCCCAUAUGUGCGCACGUUAUGUCGACUCCCGCACGCAUCGAUCAAAAUGAUAAUCCUGACAAAACAAAACAACAACAAGAAAAUAAAAAAAAAUGUUUCAACUGAGUAGAAGAAGAAGGGAACAAACACAUCAAACGCUUCCUUAUACACGGAGGGAACUGCAACGAAAAAGGGAGAAAAUAAAUAAAAAUCCAACAGAACAAAAGUAAAAAACUAACAAAAAUAAAUGCUUGGAGAAAUAAAAACAAGAAUUCGAUAGUUUAGAGAAAAGAAGAACAGAGAACACACGAAAGAAAAGAAAAAGAAAUAGUGCAGAGCGAGCCACGUAUUAGAUGUGCGUUCUAUAUGUCGAUGUGUUUGAUUCACUUUUCCUGUGGGGGUUGCCAGUGUUUGACGGCGUCUGACCAACACCUUCAAUCUUCUCUUUUCUUUUUGUCUUUGGUCCAGCAGCCCUUUGGCUCUCUCUUCUUUGUUACUUGUAUUUCUUUUUUUUUCUUUGUUUUCGGGUAUUAAAUUGCCAAGAGAUUGAGGAUUUUGUAUAUCUCACCGCUGGCAUACAAACACGAGCAUUUGACUACAUUACUGUGGUUGUAAAGUAUUUUAUAGGCCUAUACGUCAUUUUGUUGGGGAGGGGGAUGAUUACAUUUCGGCGUGGCGUAUACAGAGAACAUAGA